rnacentral:rRNA from 1 species
AGUGAACGCUGGCGGUAGGCCUAACACAUGCAAGUCGAACGGCAGCACAGUAAGAGCUUGCUCUUACGGGUGGCGAGUGGCGGACGGGUGGGGAAUACAUCGGAAUCUACUUUUUCGUGAGGGAUAACGUAGGGAAACUUACGCUAAUACCGCAUACGACCUACGGGUGAAAGCAGGGGAUCUUCGGACCUUGCGCGAUUGAAUGAGCCGAUGUCGGAUUAGCUAGUUGGCGGGGUAAAGGCCCACCAAGGCGACGAUCCGUAGCUGGUCUGAGAGGAUGAUCAGCCACACUGGAACUGAGACACGGUCCAGACUCCUACGGGAGGCAGCAGUGGGGAAUAUUGGACAAUGGGCGCAAGCCUGAUCCAGCCAUACCGCGUGGGUGAAGAAGGCCUUCGGGUUGUAAAGCCCUUUUGUUGGGAAAGAAAAGCAGCAGGUUAAUACCCCGCUGUUCUGACGGUACCCAAAGAAUAAGCACCGGCUAACUUCGUG